AAAGUACUCCCUCCAUCCCAAAAUUCUUGUCUUAGACUUGUCUAGAUACGGAUGUAUCAAAGAUUUGUCUAGAUACGGAUGUAUCAAGUCACAUUUUAGUAUUAGAUACAUCCGUAUCUAGACAAAUCUAAGACAAGAAAUUUGGGACAGAGGGAGUAGUCG
rfam:Triticum aestivum genome assembly, contig: Triticum_aestivum_CS42_TGACv1_scaffold_501740_6BL